GCUGCACUUCUACAGCAGUAUGUGUAUUAAACUGAAUGAAACACAGACUAGCAUGGCCCCUGCACCAGGCAGACAUCCAAAUUCACGAAGUGCUCCAUGAUUUU